GGAUGAGUAUUGCUCAAUGGACGAAAGUCUGAAGCAGCAACGCCGCGUGAGGGAUGAAGGUGCUCUGCAUUGUAAACCUCUGUAGUCGGGAAAAACAAUGGGUUACUACCCAUUUGAUGGUACCGAAAAGUAAGGAUCGGCUAACUACGUGCCAGCAGCCGCGGUAAUACGUAGGAUCCAAGCGUUGUCGGAUUUACUGGGUGUAAAGGUGCGCAGGCGGACUUGUUAGUCAGAGGUGAAAUCUCACGGCUCAACCGUGAAACUGCCUUUGAUACUGCAGAUCUUGAAUUGGGAGAGAGUUGUGGAAUUCCGAGUGUAGCAGUGAAAUUGUGUAGAUAUUUCGGAAGAACACCAGUGGCGAAGGCAGCAACUUGGCCCUAUAUUGACGCUCAGGCACGAAAGCAUGGGGAGUCAAACA
rnacentral:rRNA from 1 species